rnacentral:rRNA from 1 species
UAGUCCACGCCCUAAACGAUGCUCACUGGACGUAUGAUUAAGUUUGUGCGUCUGAGGGAAACCAUUAAGUGAGCCGCCUGGGGAGUACGUUCGCAAGAAUGAAACUCAAAGGAAUUGACGGGGGCCCGCACAAGCGGUGGAGCAUGUGGUUUAAUUCGAUGAUACGCGAGGAACCUUACCAGGGCUUAAAUGCAUAUUGACAGGACAGGAAACUGUUUUUUCUUCGGACAAUUUGCAAGGUGCUGCAUGGUUGUCGUCAGCUCGUGCUGUGAAGUGUCGGGUUAAGUCCCAUAACGAGCGCAACCCCUAUCUUUAGUUGCUAGCAGGUAAUGCUGAGGACUCUAGAGAAACUGCCCGUGCAAGCGGUGAGGAAGGUGGGGAUGACGUCAAGUCCUCAUGGCCCUUACAGGCUGGGCUACACACGUGCUACAAUGGCAUCUACAGUGGGCAGCUAUCACGCAAGUGUGAGCUAAUCUCCAAAAGAUGU